CAUCAUUCAAGAGCUCGUCAAAGGAGCACGCUCUAUAUUUCUCUCAUCGGCUUCUCAAACUCGUUUAAAUGACUCGAUUUUAGGGUUUGCAGUUCUUGAUUUCUUCAAUGUCAUGGAUAUCGUUGUUGAAUUGCGUUUUCAUAUGCUAUUUUCGGAUUAUAGAUAUCAAGAAUUUCACAAUUCUUCAAUGGUUAAUCGAGAUUUGCGUUUAUAGAUUUUGCAGCAAGCUGAAACGUUUUAAGGUUCUUGAUUCGAUUUUCUUCAAUCAGAUAGCAUGAUUCUUCAAUAACUUUCUUAUGGAGCCUCUGGUUUGUUGUGAUUUGGUGAUCUCUAAUAAAAAAAAUAUUCUUUUAAUCUUUUUUCAUCAAUUAAACUUAUUCUUAUUCUCACGGUGUAUAUUUCUUGAUUUCUUGAUAUGUUGGCCAGAUUCUGUGCUCCGUGGUUGCUUAAUAUCAUAUUGUAGGCAUCAAGAAUCAGAAUUUUACACGACAUUUUUAUGAAUCUUUUACUUAUCAGUCAUUAGGAAUUAUUAUUUGUAUAAAUUUAUUGAUAUAAUUCUUCUGUUAGAUAAUAGAUAAUUGAGACGUGCAUUGUUGGUUUUGCAGUGAACUGAAGUCCCAAUAGCAAUUCUUGAUUGAAUGGAUAUGGAAAGAGAACAAUCAGAUAGAUAAAUUGAAUUUCUUCGAUGAAUCGUUCUUUUUAAAUUUUUAUUUAUUGGCUUUGAUGCAAAAUAAAUGAAUUGAACUUUGAACGUGUUUUCUGCAGCUUGGUUGUCAAAAUACUGACUUGCUUCAUAGCAUGGUGCCUCGAGAUUUGGUUUGGCGAUCUUUAGUAAAAACAUUUGUUUCAACCUUUCUUUAUUGAUUCUUAUAUCAUAUUUCUUGAUUUGGUAUUUACUAUUUGGUUCUUUGGUAGAAGAUAUGAUUUAAAAUUCUCGAUUCUAAAGUUUGCUUGUUCUUGUGUUCAAUUUUCUUUUGUUUCUUGAUUCCUUGAUAUGUUGAUUUGUUGGCCAGGUUGUGUUUUCCAUGAUUGCUUAAUCAGUGUUGCUAUAAAGUAGAACAAGAGAUUGUUAGUGAUAUAUGCUUUUUCCGUAUUGUAGAUAACAAGAAAUUGACACAAUCAUCACUUCUCUUAACUCUUCUUUUCAAUCGGUUAUCAAGAUUAUUUGUCUAAAUUUUGUAUAUAAUUCUUCAUAAUUGGAUAAUCAAGAUACACUUUAUCCAUUUUGCAGUUAUAUUCUAGCAACAUAAGAAUGGAGAAUGACACCAAUAGAUAAAUCAGUUUUUUCAUUGAGUUGUUCUUCAUUUUUUUUUUUUGGCUCAAAAUAUAUGAAUUGAAGUUUGAAACUGUUUUCUCUCUAGCGUGAUUUGUCAAAUUAAUAAAAUUCUACAAAGCAUGGAGCCUAUCAUUUUUGAUUUGGUAAUAUCUAUAAAAUUCUUUUCUGUUUUAAAAUUUCUUCAUCCAAUCUGAGAGUAUAUAGAUGUUGAUUUUUUAUUUACAUUUUGGUGUUUCAGGAGAAGUAAUCAGUGAACAUAGGAUUUCUUAGGUUUCUAUAUCUCCCUCUUCUGUGAUUUUCAUGUGUUGCGUUCUUAUUCUUGUUGAUUAUUUUGUUCUCUUAAUUCUGAAGUUUGAUUGGUUUAUUGUUGGUUUCAAUUUUGGAGUUUGUUGUUCUUAUUUUAAUUUUAAUGAUCUGGUUGUUGUGUUUGUUAGAGUUUCAUUUACUAUUCUUCUAACUCCUCAUUAGUAACAAAUAUUAUACCAUGUAAACUGGUGUUCUGCCUUUAAUUUGUUGGCAGAAUGCUGGAGUUCUCAUUUAAAUUUUCUGUUUUAAGGUGUUUCCAAUUGUGUAUCAGUUAUUCUCUGUUGGCAAACUUCAUUUUCAUUUCAGUUAUUCUCUGUGUUUUAGUGUCCAGUCUUUUUUGUUUUCAUUCCAUGGUUGUUACGUGCGAGAGAUAUUGAUGUGCGAGUAGGGUUGCUGGUUUUAUCUGAAUAGUUCAGCUCACUACUGUUUCCUUAUAUUAAUGUUUCUGUAUGACAUCUUUCUGUAUUACACGAUUCUGGAAAAGUUGGGACAACUUUGUGAUACUGUAUUUGUGAUAUGCUGAUCAGAGGCUUGGUUUAGAGAAUUAUGCUAAUCUUUUGUCUUUUUUUCUUCUUUUUUUCUACUACUAUUUGCCACACUACCCCAUCAUUGUACUGUUUUCUUAUAUUUAGGUUUUUGACAUAUAAUUGACAGUGCGAAAGUUUACUCAAUUCUGAAAAAAGUGGACAGAGCUUUGUGUGGUUUUUUUCUAGCCGUGAUCUAAACGUCUUGAUAUGAAGGUGUCCCUUGCUAGUUUAGCAGUUUUUGCAUCAGGAAUGUGAGUGUGUAACAUACAAGAUUCUGAGCCUUUUGAAUUUAAUGGCUUUUGUUUCUUCCUUGAAUGUAGAUGUCCAUCUCUUUCUUGGAUAAUCAAGAUAUACACGUCUGUUUUGCAGUAAGCUGAUGUUUAGACAUCUAGAACAUUGGGAUACUUCAUAGAAUGGAUAAGAAAGGAAGGUCAAGUUAAAUCUAAUUGCUUCAACAUGUUGUUCUUUUCAGUUGGAGGGUGAUAAAUCCAAUUACUUCAUCAUGGUGUUCUUUUCUGUUUUGGUCUUUGUGAUUAAGAAAAGACAUAUACAAAUUGAAU